GAACUUAAGCAUAUCAAUAAGCGGAGGAAAAGAAACUAACAAGGAUUCCCCUAGUAACUGCGAGUGAAGCGGGAAGAGCUCAAAUUUAAAAUCUGGCAGCUGAUGGGCUUGUCCGAGUUGUAAUCUAGAGAAGUGUCUUCCGCGCUGGGACCGUGUACAAGUCUCUUGGAAUGGAGCAUCAUAGAGGGUGAGAAUCCCGUCUCUGACACGGAAUUUACCGGUGCUUUUGUGAUGCGCUCUCGAAGAGUCGAGUUGUUUGGGAAUGCAGCUCAAAAUGGGUGGUAAAUUCCAUCUAAAGCUAAAUACAGGCGAGAGACCGAUAGCGAACAAGUACCGUGAGGGAAAGAUGAAAAGGACUUUGAAAAGAGAGUUAAACAUUACGUGAAAUUGUUGAAAGGGAAACGAUUCAAGUCAGUCGCAUUAGCCAGUAAUCAACCCUCGCAAUUAACCUUGCUGGGCUUACUUUCUGGUUGAUGGGUCAGCAUCAAUUUUGACCGUCAGAGAAAGGCUUUGCGGGGAAUGUGACAUCUUCGGAUGUGUUAUAGCCCCAACUCGCAUGUGAUGGUCGGGAUUGAGGAACUCAGCACGCCUUUACAGGUCAGGGCCGCCAGAAUGGCCCAUGUAAACGUAGCUUAGGAUGCUGGCAUAAUGGCUUGAACCGACCCGUCUUGAAACACGGACCAAGGAGUCUAACAUGCCUGCGAGUGUUUGGGUGGAAAACCCGAGCGCGAAGUGAAAGUGAACUUGGUUGAGAUCCCUGUCGUGGGGAGCACCGACGCCCGGACCAGACCUUCUGUGACGGAUCUGCGGUAGAGCAUGCAUGUUGGGACCCGAAA
rnacentral:rRNA from 1 species